rnacentral:lncRNA from 1 species
AAAACGUGUGAUUUGUACUCACAGUGAGGGAUUGUGCAAUCGAUGUUCCCAGAGAAAGGAGGAGUGAGUGAGUUGAGCAAUCCUUUUUCCCAGAGAUACACAGAUACCCUGAGAAGAGCCAAGAGAAAGAGCUGGUCCAAAUGGUCUCGUUCCGGGAGGGGUCCAUGUACAGCUGAACCCCCCAAGGCUAGAUGAGCCCCUGAGAUGAGCCAGAGAGAGAGAAGAGAUAUUCCCAGUGACUCUUUCCUGUCCUCCACCUGCCAAUUUGUGCAUUAUAUUUCACGUUGGAGGAUUACCGCUGCAGUUCAUCUCAAUUCCGAGACAAAGUCAACGCAAUUACGGAUUAAUUCUCGGCAUCUGCCUGCCCUGAUCAUGCUGGACCUCCCUGCGAAGUCAUCCCCUCCAAAUUCAAGACCUUGUCAGAAACUGAAAUCACUGACCUCCUGCUGUCGCACAGAGCCACCACCUGCUUGACCGAUCCGAUCCCAUAGACACUCCUACAGACCAUCUCUCCACCUUCAUCCCCAAGAUCAUCAACUCCUUGCUCUCCUCUGGCUGCUUCCCAUCUGCCUUCAAAACUGCCCACAUUUCACCUCUGCUAAAGAAACUCUGGAUGCUGACUCAGUCCAAAACUACAAACCAGUCUUCCUUCCUGUCUAAAACUCUACAAUGGGCAGCCUGUGAUCAACUUUCUGAAUUCCUCACCCAGAACCAUCUCCUCAACAGAUAUCAGUCUGGAUUCAAAGCUGGACAGUCCACUGAGUGAGUGCUCCUGGCAGUGUCUGAUGCUCUCCAGUCGGGUGGAGCGGCCUCCCUUUCC